rnacentral:rRNA from 1 species
GUUAGGAAUAUUGGACAAUGGGCGCAAGCCUGAUCCAGCCAUGCCGCGUGAACGAUGAAGGCCUUCGGGUUGUAAAGUUCUUUAGCCGAUGAUUAUAAUGACUGUAGUCGGAAAAUAAGCCCCGGCUAACUUCGUGCCAGCAGCCGCGGUAAUACGAAGGGGGCGAGCGUUAUUCGGAAUCACUGGGCGUAAAGCGUGCGUAUGCGGUCUCGUAAGUUAGGAGUGAAAGCCCAGGGCUCAACCUUGGAAUUGCUCUUAAAACUGCAAGGCUAGAAUCUCGGAGAGGAUAGCGGAAUUUCCAGGGUAGCAGUGAAAUGCGUAGAUAUUGGAAGGAACACCAGUGGCGUAAGCGGCUAUCUGGACGAGUAUUGACGCUGAGGCACGAAAGCGUGGGGAUCAAACAGGAUUAGAAACCCUUGUAGUCC